rnacentral:rRNA from 1 species
AUUGAACGCUGGCGGCAGGCCUAACACAUGCAAGUCGAGCGGUAACACAGGGAGCUUGCUCCUGGGUGACGAGCGGCGGACGGGUGAGUAAUGUCUGGGAAACUGCCUGAUGGAGGGGGAUAACUACUGGAAACGGUAGCUAAUACCGCAUAACGUCGCAAGACCAAAGAGGGGGACCUUCGGGCCUCUUGCCAUCAGAUGUGCCCAGAUGGGAUUAGCUAGUAGGUGGGGUAACGGCUCACCUAGGCGACGAUCCCUAGCUGGUCUGAGAGGAUGACCAGCCACACUGGAACUGAGACACGGUCCAGACUCCUACGGGAGGCAGCAGUGGGGAAUAUUGCACAAUGGGCGCAAGCCUGAUGCAGCCAUGCCGCGUGUAUGAAGAAGGCCUUCGGGUUGUAAAGUACUUUCAGCGGGGAGGAAGGUGUUGAGGUUAAUAACCUCAGCAAUUGACGUUACCCGCAGAAGAAGCACCGGCUAACUCCGUGCCAGUCGCCGCAGUAAAAC